GCCGUCCUCCGAAUAACCUGGAAAGCAAGAGUGAGACGUGAGGGAAGCCCCCCGGCCUGUUGUGACGCCCUGACCCCGGGACAGGACCUCCAGGGAAACCAUGGAGGCCACCUUUGCCUUUCGAAUGGAGAGACUGCUUCCAGCGACCACGAAGACAGACGAGCUGCCGUCAGAAACGGGCCCCCACGACGCCCCCAGCCAGGCCCCCACGGCCACUCACCUGGCACGGUAGAGGCAGAAGACGUGCUUGGUCUGGCCACGGUCGCUGCAUAAGACUGAGGUAAUGGAGGUCUGAGGUCAUUUUCUUUGUUUUCUUCUGUUGUUCCUGAGCUAAGCAAGCUAAUGGCAGCAAUUAAGGGGAGGGGGAGAAAAGAAAAAAGAGCUCAUCACAUGUGCAGGAAACUUCCAGAAGGAAAAGUGCCAGGAAGCUCAGGCUUGCCCCCUUGAGUUUAAAGUAUGGCCCUAUUGGGGGCGCCUGGGGGGCUCAGUCGGGUAGGCGUCUGACUCUUGGUUUCGCAUGAUCUCACGGCUCGUGGGUCUGAGCCCCACAUCGGGCUCUGUGCUGACAGCGUGGAGCCUGCUUGGGCUUCUCUGUCCCUUUCUCUCUGCUCCUCCCCGGCUCGUGUACUCACCCUCUCUCUCACAUAAACUUAAAAAAAAGAAAAAGGACUGAUGAGUACACCGCUGGGUCACAUGACCUGAACAGCGACCUCGAACCGCUGGGGUCAAUCAUGCAACUUCACAACGACCCCUUUCUCUUGUACCGACUGAAUGAAGAUUGGCCCUUUGCUCUUUCUGGUACACUCUGGCCAGGACGCUAAGACUCGCUCACAAAGGGGGGCUCCGCGGGCCAAGGGGAGGGGGCGGUGGCAGCUCGUGGGGUCCUGUCACGGCAGGAAGAGGUCGCCUUGUCAAGAGGUCACAGAUGUCAGGAGAGCUUUUCAAUUCCCUUUGGCCCACAUUUUGGAGCUUCCAGUAUGUUCGAGGGAACGUAUGAGGAGGAAGGGGCCGUAUGAAGUCAUUCCGCUUCUUCAAGUGCGCAUUACGCAUCUCAGCAACUCUUCCAGAAGCCUACAGCGUGGCGGGGGUGCCUGACGUGGAGCCCAGCGAGGAGCGGGCGCCCACUAGAAGUGGGCCACCGAGAACACCAGCCAGGACGACAGACAAGCAGGGCCCCGAAGCUUGUCGUCCUUGGCCACGUGACGGCUUUACACAACCAGCUCUUAAAGAGGCUUUCUGAAAACUAGUCUCUUCACCUGUGGGUCUUGAUUAAGACACAUUCUCCUCCGUCCUGAGGGUCCAAAUUGUAGAUGUAAAGGUGUCCAUCGGAAGACGCGACCAGGAGUCUUGGCAGUUUCUGGAUCCUAAGAGCCAAGUAAAAUACGUGCUGUGACCUCAACAGAGGCAGGUAACCGGGUUGGCUUCAAAUGACACAGCCUCCCCCACCCCAUGGCCCCAGGCUGCUCCUCCUGCCUUCAGGAACCCUUUACCCGGCCCACUGGCCCCAGAUCCUGGGUUUCUGGCUAUUUCUUGGCAUUAUGACCUAGUGAUCCACCUCGAGGAUUAUUUCUCAUCUUGGAAGACAACUGUGUGGACGAGACAAACGACGUGUGCGUCUGCUAUUACUCUGAAAAGGUGCCACCGAGGAAAUCAGCGGACCUGAGUGGGACAUGGCCUCUGGCUUAUGCGUGUUUCUGCCUUUAACCGUGACGGAAAGGACAAAGGACAAAAUCGGCUGGCUCGUUUUGUGAACUUCUAAAAAACGUUCGCCUUCCUUAACAAACUCCUUCAAACCCCUUGGACAAAACAUCUGUCGACCCCACAGGCGUCGGAACCUACGGAGCCGGAGUCUUUUUACAGAGUUACUUAGAAGAGCGGGAACUGUUUUCGAGACAGCGUCGGCAGAACCACAAGGUUCAAGUUCCCACGCCGGCUCGCGGCCACCCCCCCCAGAACACGCGUGACAACCAGAGAGGGCGGCGGCUGACGGCCACGGCCCUUCUUCGGGGCCUCCUUCCUUCUUUUUCUCCAGGCGCGUGUUCGGGGACCUGGGCGCUUUGGGCAAACCGAGCCGUAGAAGGUGGUGCCUGCGACAGCGGGUGGCGCCAUACGUACGUGGAGAGGGUGCAGAUGUUCCUCUGCCCAGAGAAGUGUAAGCGCCCGGUGGCAAAGGCCCUGUCCUGGUUCAUCAUGUCGGACACCUGGGCGGGGAGGUAGUUGGAAGCGGCCAUGAACAUCUUUCCCAUGUAGCCAGUCCAGGUGGAGGGCUCCUCGGGUCGGCUGCGGGGACAAGGCACAGGAGGAGCGAGGUGGGCACCGGGCCAACGCUCGGCACAGCCCCGUGCUGUGAGCGGCGCUCACCGCAGCGGGAAGGAACUGUGCCUUUAGCAUAAUGUUCUGCCCACCUGGAACGGCUCGGGACAUGCUAUUCUGGCAAUUCUGAAAGGGCAUCGAGUGCUCGUUUGUCCUUCGGAAGGACCACUGCGAAGCUGUUAAGAGCUUCCCCAUGCGACCGCUUCCCUACGUUAAAAAAGUUGCAGGUGAUGGUUCGUCUGGUCUCCGGACUCCUAAAAAGGGGGCCAGGCGAGGGCACAAGAUGAGAUCGCCGUGCGGACUCGGAAAACUAAGCUCCAGCCUGGCUCGGGCCCACGGAAGGACGCCGCGAUCUCAGCGGCAGGGCCUCCCCGGCCAGACUGAGUGGGAAGCAAACCUCCGGGCAGGAGGCCCCGGGCGCUGUGUGAUUACGGCCCUGAAGCCACCCUGGUCCCCGGUGAGCCGCGGUGGUAGGGAGAACUCGAGGGGACCCGGUGCACCCCCUGCAGUCCUCCAACGCCUUCCCAGCGCGGCCGCCAGACGGAGGGGGCGGGCACCGGUCGCCGGGAGGUGACAAUGGGUGGGGGCACACAGCCGCCUCCGUGCUCGGCGCACCGGGCAGCGCCUCAGGGACCGGGCUGGCCGCGUGCUCCUGGGAGCACCUGCCGAGAGGCCCCUUGUCUACGGGCCCGGAGCUUGGUGGGGAGCGCGGGCUGGAGCUCAGAAGCACGGGGGUUUAUUUCUCACUCUGUUACCACCCGGCUGGGGACAGUCACAGGCACUGAAAGUGGGCGCGAUGGCAGUGGUUCGUCUGUUACUGUUUCGAUAGCUGCUGCCGAAUACUUAUUGGUGCCCGUUGUGUGCCAGGCGCUACACCACACGCUUCAGGUCGAGGAACCCGCCGAACGCUCGCAACAAGCCCGAGACGCACCGCUGAGUAUUUUGUACGAAAGCACAGAUCACCUGCCGGGGUCUCGGAGUGCGUGAAGGGGCAGAGGCGGGGUGUGACCUCGGGAGGGCGGCCCCGGGGCCUGCGCUCCCGCGCGUUCCACCUCCGAGGUUCUCCCGGCAGACACUCACCACCUCCGUGAGGACAAGUAAAGCCAAGCGCGUGGCACUCAUAAGGAGUCGCUGGUGCGGACAGCGGUGGCACAGGCGAGUCAGGGCCUGGCUCCUCCAGCUUGACGAGUGUUGUGCGUCUGGCAGUUACUCACCUGUUGGUGAGGUGCUCCAGCUUGAAGAUGUGCACGGUCUCGGUGUUGCUUGAGGCGCAGAGGAACUGUGAGUCCAUACUAAAAACUAGGGAGCUGAUCGUCACGUACCUGGGAACACAGCGACGUAUAGACAGACCACUGAGCCAGGAGCGUGAGGGUGAUCGCUUUAUAGCUCAAAAACUAGCUUGGUUAAGAGAACCGAAUGUGUCCCGCCCGGAGAGUCUGGGUGUUCUAAGGUCUCCUUGACAUUGCAUCACGCACACUUAGAAAUUAGCGUUGGGAGGACUGGUAAAGGGUCCCUGUCUCGGGAAGAAACAAGGCACCGCCCCUUUCUGGCAUCUCGUUAGUUUUCCGGCUGUUCGGGCACCGAUCGGGCUGCAAACGCUGCAGCCGAUAGCAUCCCGGCCCAUUCACUUUACAAGCUGCUUUUGGAUGGUGAUUUGCUCGCCCUCUCCUUUCUCCUUUGCAAGCUGCCCUCGCACACCUGGGAACAGGGCUCUGACGGCUGAAAUCCUGUGUGAAAGCGGCAGCCGAGGGGGCGCCUGGGUGGCUCUGUCGAUUAAGCGUCUGACUCUUGAUUUCGGCUCAGGUCAUGAUCUCAGGGAUCACAGGGUGGAGCCCCGUGUCGGGCCCUGUGCUGAGAGCGUGGAGCCUGCUUGGGAUUCUCUCUCUCUCCCUCUUUCUCUGCCCCUCCCACAUCUCAGAAUAAACAAGCAAACAAACAAAUGAGCAAACCCAGCAGCCAUGCUGUCGGGUGCACGAAGCACCCAGCACGGCAUCGAAGGCAGUUACCCGAGGAAGUACAGUUCUAUCUCCUCCGGGGGAGAGGGGGGCACAGAGCCGCCCUCCGCGCUUGCCCCGGCGGGCCGCCAGCCCUGCGCUGCGGGCGGGACUCCGGUGGGUCCCGUAACACGGGCUUCACGGUGAACACAGACCUUUUCAUUCCUCUCCGAAACUCGUAGAGCUUUCGCCCGUCGGGUACAGAGAACACCCGGAUGACGGUGCCCUGAGAAAGCAAGCAGGUGGACAUUUCGUACCAUUGACGGCCUCGGACAGAGACGUCCCUUCAGAGGGGAGCUUGUUUUAUUGGUGCGGAACACCUGUCUCUAAGGGGGAGGCACAAAGUGUUGAGCACAGGGGGGUUUUGUUUGUAUGUUGCCAGAGAAGCAAUUCUUGGCACGUUUGGGUCCCUUUUCCCUCCCCACCCUGCACCCCAAGGCUCUGUGUGUGUUUGCUCGAAAUGCUCGGGCUUCCUAGAACAUUGCCUGUACCUGUCAAAAACCACUUGUGCUUCGUGGCAUUUGAAAUUCAACUUGAUCACCUUCCCUGACCAUUCCAGUCAGAAGAGAUCAAUUUCUUCUGAAUAGCACAACAUUUCGUUGACACUGCUUAUGAAAUGCUGAAUCUGUCUGCAUCUAGGGAUAACGCGCACACACGUUUCUCAGUAAGACCACCAGUUUCUGUGCCGCAUAUCUCGUAUCCUGCCUAGCACAGGUCUUUGGUCUGUUGAAUUAAUAAACGUAUCAGUCUACGCA